UCAGGCUUAGGAGGAGCUUCAUGCACGGGGCAUUCGGGUGGUUUGUUUAACAAUGGAUGGGCAUGCCUCCAAUGUCAGCAUGUGCAACCAACUUGGAUGUGAGCUGAAGGGGGACCCAUGACAGGCACUUCAAACCAGCUUACCACAUCCGGUGACUGCUGAGAACGUUUUUGUAAUGAUGGAUGCUUGCCACAUGCUCAAGUUGGCACGUUAUAUGUUGCAGGCAUACAGUCCAAUUGCGACGACCACCGGACAGAUCCAUUGGAGGUACAUCAAUCGUCUCCAUGAUCUGCAAAAAGAGGAUGGACUGCAUGCUGCCAAUAAAAUGACAGAAAAGCAUGUCUACUUUGAGAACCACAAGAUGAGGGUGAACCUGGCUGCACAGACACUGAGUCACUCCGUGUCAGUGGCUCUCCGCACAAUGAGGGAUCUUGGGUACUCUCAGUUUAAGGACUGUGAGGCAACGGCAGAAUUCAUUGAGGUAAUACAAUCAGUGAUUGUAGAACCAAGUACCUGUUUCUUUUUGUUAAACUAGUGCAUGCCCGUCCAUCCAUCAAAUUGGUAAAGCUCUGUGAAAUUUGCUGUAGUACAAAACGUGUUUACUUGCAUUUUCAGCAUACAGUUUAGAAAUAUUUACCUGAUACCUUAUGAUUUACAUGCCGAUAUGUCUAUAGAUUAUUGACAGGCUGUUUGACUCAAUGAAUGGACGCAGUCCUUGGGCCAAAGGAUACAAAGCUCCCUUGGGUGCUUUCAAUUGGACGGAGAGGAAAGCAUUUUUCUCUAGAGCCAGGGACUACUUGCUCACUUUGGUCACAAAAGAUGGAACCCCCCUUCACCGGUCUAAGAUGUCAAUUAAAAUAGUGUUUGUUAAGUUCAUGACAUGAGUUCUCCGAUACUCUAUUCCCUUAUGCAUCGAGUUCCUAAGAUGCUCCGUUGUUCCCUUAUGCAUCGAGUUCCUAAGAUGCUCCGUUGUUCCCUUAUGCAUCGAGUUCCUAAGAUGCUCCACUGUUCCCUGAUGCAUCAAGUUCCUAAGAUGCUCCGUUGUUCCCUUAGGCAUCGAGUUCCUAAGAUGCUCCGUUGUUUAGUUAUGCAUCGAGUUUCUAAGAUGCUCUGUUGUUUCCUUAUGCAUCGAGUUCCUAAGAUGCUCCUAGCUGCUUCAGUUUUGUUUCUGUUGGAAUUAUCUUGUAUUCAGUGUUUUUCAGGUCCUGCAUGUUUCUAAAUGGUAUGUAUUACAGAACACCAAGUACGUGUAGGUGUCAAAAUGGUAGGUAUUGGUAGGUAUUUUAGUGUUGUGCAUGUGUUACAUUUUUGCAUGUGUUCCAUUGUUCCAAGUUAUUGUUCCAUUGUCUACUAAAUUAAUUAUUACACAUUAUCAAUGGAUGUGAUGGAAAAUUCAAUUACUGCUCUGAAUGAACAAAAUCACAUGGUGCUUUGUUGGGGUGUCUUGUUUGCCAUGAUCAGAGUAAUACAACUUUUGUCUUUUGCAAGUACUUGUCGGUGAUCGGAUUUAUCAUCAAUAUCGACACGUUCAUGCUGAUGAUUCCUGAACUGCUCCAGGUUCAGCGGUAUGUGCUCACCUCCAGGUUCAGCCAGGAUCACUUGGAGCUCCUAUUUAACUGAAUCAGAGCAUCAGGUGGCUGUAAUAAUAAUCCCACGGCGCGCAAGUUCCAGGCCAUCUUCCAGGCCAUCUUCCAUCGUCUGAUGGUUCGGUGUGGUGUCUCACCUAGUGAGACAGGCAAUGUGGCAGCCCAAGAUAACACUGUGUCCCUGUCUGCUGUGGAGAUGUCCUCUGCUGAAACUGCUGAAGAGCACCCAUCUCCAUUCGCCAACAUUUCGGCCCUUGUGUCUGACCACAGUUAUCUCCCCACUCGGUUUGGUGGACUGGUAGAAAAUGCUCUGGUCUACAUCGCAGGUUUUGUAGUCAGGCAGAUUCUACGAAAGCUGUCCUGCGCUGUGUGCCGUUGGAGCUUGGUCAGAGAAGCUGCGCCAUCUUCAUUUGACAAGAAUUUCCACCUUCUGAUGCUGAAAAACAACAGCGGCCUAGUGAUCCCAUCACUAGGCACAGUGAAGGUGCUGAGAGCUGCAGAGAGGGUGAUCCGCCAAUCUUCGAGAAUGCAAGCUCAAGCUCCUAAGGUGUCAACAGUCCGAGGGGAGAUUGGCACAGAGGAUGUAUUUCUGCCUGGGGACCACAUGGAGGAGACACAGUUUGGCAUCGAGAACCACCAUUCUGACCUGUUAUCAUUGGUUGUGUCUGUGUUUCAUAAGAUGAGGCUGCACCACAUUGCCAAACUCGCCUCUCUUGAACUUCAGAAAAGAAGCACAAGAAAGAAGUUAUGCAAAACAGUCCUCUUUCAAGGGUUUUAAUCCGACACAGGUAUUGACACCAACCCCCCCUCCUCCACCUUCCCGUGAGGAUGGACACUGGUUUUCAGCGGCUCUCACACACACACCCCCCACACACACACACCUU